rnacentral:rRNA from 1 species
AUUGAACGCUGGCGGCAGGCCUAACACAUGCAAGUCGAACGGCAGCACAGAAGAGCUUGCUCUUUGGGUGGCGAGUGGCGGACGGGUGAGUAAUGUCUGGGAAACUGCCCGAUGGAGGGGGAUAACUACUGGAAACGGUAGCUAAUACCGCAUAACGUCGCGAGACCAAAGUGGGGGACCUUCGGGCCUCACACCAUCGGAUGUGCCCAGAUGGGAUUAGCUAGUAGGUGGGGUAAUGGCUCACCUAGGCGACGAUCCCUAGCUGGUCUGGGAGGAUGACCAGCCACACUGGAACUGAGACACGGUCCAGACGCCUACGGGAGGCAGCAGUGGGGAAUAUUGCACAAUGGGCGCAAGCCUGAUGCAGCCAUGCCGCGUGUAUGAAGAAGGCCUUCGGGUUGUAAAGUACUUUCAGCGGGGAGGAAGGCGGUGAGGUUAAUAACCUCGCCGAUUGACGUUACCCGCAGAAGAAGCACCGGCUAACUCCGUGCCAGCCGCCGCGGUAA